rnacentral:lncRNA from 1 species
AUACCAUUUGAAGAGAAAUUUGAGUGCAGGGGUAAAAUGAUAAUUUUAAAACUUUUUCAAAAUCACUAUUUUACAGUGAAAAUUAUUAAUUAAUCUAAUUAAUUAAUAUAUAUUUAUCCUCCAUUAGGAUCUAAAUAUGAUAGAUAGCAUGCAUGCAUUUAAAUUUGAAAUUCAAAUUUGAAUAGUAAAUAAUUUACUGUUCAGUGUUCAUAACACAAUACCUUUAUGCAGGUAGUCGAUCGUCGCAAUCUGAUCACCGUCGAGAGGGUCUGAUCAUUGUAACAUAGCCACACAGCAUAUCUAAUCUCUGUGGAUCAUCCACACGAAGCUUCCGAUCUGAUCGGCUCCUCACGAGUGCUAGCUCGUUGUAGAGCUCUUUCGAUGGUCGAUGCUGAUUGAACUCUUUCGAUCGAUGUCUAUCGAUCCUACGGAUGCUCUGAAUCAUUAGCAAAUAUUCUUGAGAGGUAGAUGAUGCUCUUUCUUGAAUUGGUGGGCUCACGACAUUCGUAGCUCACUAACUCACUUCCCAAACCCCAGGCUGAAACCCUAGGGAACACACUGAAAACCCUACGUCCACUUUUAUUUCUUUUCUUUCUUUUUCUCUCAGAAGGUUUUGGACCUUCACCUCAUGCACA